rnacentral:rRNA from 1 species
AACGAACGCUGGCGGCAUGCCUAACACAUGCAAGUCGAACGAGACCUUCGGGUCUAGUGGCGCACGGGUGCGUAGCGCGUGGGAACCUGCCCUUAGGUUCGGAAUAACUCCCCGAAAGGGGUGCUAAUACCGGAUAAUGUCUUCGGACCAAAGAUUUAUCGCCUUUGGAUGGGCCCGCGUUGGAUUAGCUAGUUGGUAGGGUAAAAGCCUACCAAGGCGACGAUCCAUAGCUGGUCUGAGAGGAUGAUCAGCCACACUGGGACUGAGACACGGCCCAGACUCCUACGGGAAGCAGCAGUGGGGAAUAUUGGACAAUGGGCGAAAGCCUGAUCCAGCAAUGCCGCGUGAGUGAUGAAGGCCUUAGGGUUGUAAAGCUCUUUUACCCGGGAUGAUAAUGACAGUACCGGGAGAAUAAGCUCCGGCUAACUCCGUG